rnacentral:rRNA from 1 species
GAAUGCUGACAUGAGUAACGAUAAUGGGUGUGAAAAACACCCACGCCGAAAGACCAAGGUUUCCUGCGCAACGUUAAUCGACGCAGGGUUAGUCGGUCCCUAAGGCGAGGCUGAAAAGCGUAGUCGAUGGAAAACAGGUUAAUAUUCCUGUACUUCUGGUUAUUGCGAUGGAGGGACGGAGAAGGCUAGGCCAGCUUGGCGUUGGUUGUCCAAGUUUAAGGUGGUAGGCUGGAAUCUUAGGUAAAUCCGGGAUUCUAAGGCCGAGAGCUGAUGACGAGUUGUCUUUUAGACAACGAAGUGGUUGAUGCCAUGCUUCCAAGAAAAGCUUCUAAGCUUCAGGUAACCAGGAACCGUACCCCAAACCGACACAGGUGGUUGGGUAGAGAAUACCAAGGCGCUUGAGAGAACUCGGGUGAAGGAACUAGGCAAAAUGGCACCGUAACUUCGGGAGAAGGUGCGCCGGUGAGGGUGAAGCAUUUACUGCGUAAGCCCACGCCGGUCGAAGAUACCAGGCCGCUGCGACUGUUUAUUAAAAACACAGCACUCUGCAAACACGAAAGUGGACGUAUAGGGUGUGACGCCUGCCCGGUGCCGGAAGGUUAAUUGAUGGGGUUAGCUAACGCGAAGCUCUUGAUCGAAGCCCCGGUAAACGGCGGCCGUAACUAUAACGGUCCUAAGGUAGCGAAAUUCCUUGUCGGGUAAGUUCCGACCUGCACGAAUGGCGUAACGAUGGCGGCGCUGUCUCCACCCGAGACUCAGUGAAAUUGAAAUCGCUGUGAAGAUGCAGUGUAUCCGCGGCUAGACGGAAAGACCCCGUGAACCUUUACUAUAGCUUUGCACUGGACUUUGAAUUUGCUUGUGUAGGAUAGGUGGGAGGCUUUGAAGUGUGGACGCCAGUCUGCAUGGAGCCAACCUUGAAAUACCACCCUGGCAACUUUGAGGUUCUAACUCAGGUCCGUUAUCCGGAUCGAGGACAGUGUAUGGUGGGUAGUUUGACUGGGGCGGUCUCCUCCUAAAGAGUAACGGAGGAGUACGAAGGUGCGCUCAGACCGGUCGGAAAUCGGUCGUAGAGUAUAAAGGCAAAAGCGCGCUUGACUGCGAGACAGACACGUCGAGCA